AUUAGCUCAGUUGGUUACAGCAUGGUGCUAGUAACACCAAGAUUGUGGGUUUGAUCCCUGUAU
rnacentral:tRNA from 1 species